CUUUCUAGUUUCUAUUCGAUUCAUUGAUUGGAAUUUUGGAUUGAAAGUUGAAUCAUCCAUGCACUGAAAUUUCAGACCUAUGCUUUGUAAUUGAUACUGCAAAAUGAAGAGGAGUAGGAUAUUGGCAUCUCUAUUUACCUCGUGUUCAUGCCACACAACUGAAUGAAAUUGAUAAACACUCUCCACCUUGUCUAGAUCCAAAGAAUUCCUUUACCAAUUAUGACCGUGAGAAACUAAUUGAACUUGCUGAGAUUUACUAUGCUGACUUUUCCUACUGAGCUUUCUAAACUUUGGUGCCAACUUGAUAAUUUCAUUGCUGAUGUGAGAGCUGAUCCUUUUACAAAUUGUGUGGACCUUGGUGUUUUUGCUAUGAAGAUGGACCCUUUCAUGUCCUGUUGCUAAUUGCUAUUACUCUAUAUGUGACACAUGUGCUGUAGCUUUGGUCGCUGAAUUUUGGCCCUAGUCUUGACCAAAAGCUGGGUCCGCCACUGCUUGGGUGCAUUUCUCCCGGAGUGGAUUUUGUUCUGGGAGAUCAUUCACCUUCUCCUUGAGCAGUCGAAUCCAAAAUUUUCGUUCCUCCACCCAUGGAUUGGCCUCGAGCUGUCAAUUUGCGCCAUAGGAUUUGGACUUGGGUUCUGUGGCGAGGGCGCAGUUCAAUCCCCACCAGCGAAAUUGGCGGUUCAAAGGGACCCCCGAUGCCGUCGGCGCUUGGGGAGAAGGAUCCCCAAGUUGCGCCGGGGCCUGCGACUGCACCUCCGCAGGUACAGGCUCUCAGGCCUGCCGAUGCCACAGGUAGUCCCGUCAUAGACCCGAGGCUAGCGCAGCAGUCUUGGCCCGGCCAUGUAGUACUCCUGCGUCCAUGUGUGCCUUGGCCUCCUCAGGUGCCUGUCCCGCUGCUGCUUAAUGCUGCAAAUCCGCAGCAAAAUGCGAAUGCUAUGGCGGAUGUGGCUGCGGCAGAUGUUAACCCUGCGAUAGAUAGCUGUGACGAGAAUAUGUUGCCCAAGGUGAACAUGCUUUUUGAUGGCGAGAGUGAUGCGUAUGAGUUCUACAAUGCUUAUGCGGAGAAGGUGGGCUUCUUUGUCCGGAGGUCAACGCUCUGGACAACUUCAAAGAACAUAAUCACUAGGAGAACUUUUGUAUGCUCAAGAGAGGGUUUCCGGGAGAAGAAGAAGGGGGCCAAGGAAGCAAAAUGCCCACGCCCUGAAACACGAAUUGGGUGCCCUGCAAGCUUGACCAUUAGACUUACUGCUAACGGCAAGUACCGUUUGACAGAGUUUGUACCAAAUCAUAACCAUCAACUGGCAACAGCAUCUACAAUUCAUAUGCUGAAAGCAAAGAAAAUCAGGCGCAAAGCACGGGCUGUGAGAGAAAAUCUGGUUGACGAGACUGUAAGUAUGCCAGAAUUUGAAAAUGAAGAUGAGGCAUAUGAAUUUUACAGCAUGUAUGCAGGGAAAAUUGGGUUCAAUGUGCGAAGGGCUAGCAUGACGGUGAAUACUGAGAAUGUUAUCACCAGAAGAAUGUUUGUUUGUUCAAAAGAAGGGUUCCGUGAGAAGAAGAGAGGAGCGAAAAGAGUAAAGAAACCUCGACCGGAGACACGGACUGGCUGUCCAGCAUGUAUGGUCAUCAGGCUUGGAACUAAUGGCAAAUAUCAAGUCACAGAAUUUGUUACCUUCCACAAUCACCAGCUUGGGGCUGCAGCAGCUUCUGAUCUUGCCAUGGCAUCACAGAGUACAGAAAAUGAUCAAGAGGAUGGAGUUGAUCUGGCAGAUAGAUCGCCUGAUGAUUCUGUUCACAAGCAAAAUCUUAUUAAUGAAAGUGCCACUCUAAAUUCCAUAGAAGGUAGAAGUUGCAAAAGAUACAAGUGUACAAAGACUCCACACUAUGGUGAUGUUGGUGCUACUCUAGAGUACCUGCAAAAGAUGCAACACGAUAACCCUUCAUUCUUCUAUGCUGUAAAAUCUGAUGAGAAUGGGAACUUCACGAAUUUUUUCUGGGCAGAUUCAAAGUCUACUGUAGAUUUUGUCCAUUUUGGUGAUGUAGUGUGUUUUGAUUCAGGAUAUGCAUUGCAAGGCUAUGGUAGGCCACUUGCUCUGUUUACAGGUUUGAAUCAUCAUAAGCAAACAGUUAUCUUUGGUGCUGCAUUACUUUAUGAUGAAAGUAAUGAGGCUUUCAGAUGGUUAUUAGAUACUUUCAAGAUGGCAAUGAAUGGAAAUCCUAAGACAUUGUUAACUGAUAGAUCUGCUGCAAUAAGUGAAGCUGUUGCAGCCACAUUACCUGCUACAGCCCAUCGUUAUUGUGUGUGGCAAAUUUACCAAAAUGCUCUUCAGCAGUUGAGUCAAGCUUUCCACGGUUCAAAAACUCUAGAAUGCAACUUCAAGAGAUGCUUAUUUGAUUGUGAGGAUGAGGAUGAGUUUUUGACAGCAUGGAAGGAAAUGUUGGAAAAAUAUGACCUAGAAGAUAAUCAAUGGCUAGCAGAUUUGUACUCAAUUAAGGAGAAAUGGGCAUUGCCAUAUGGUCGCGAUGCAUUUUAUGCUGAUAUGAAAAGUGUCCAACAAAAGGAAAGCUUGACAAGUGAGUUGAAAAAACAUUUAUGCUUGGAAUAUGACCUUUUGAACUUCUUUGAGCAGUUUGAAAGACUAUUAUGUGAUCGUCGAUCUGCAGAGCUGGAAGCUGAUGUGAAUGCUAAUCAAAGCACAAAGAAGCCACCUAUGCGAAUGUUGAGGCAAGCUGCCAAUGUAUAUACACCUGCUGCCUUUAAAAUGUUUGAGAGGGAAUUUGAGUUAUACAUGGAUUGCAUGCUUUACAACUGUGGUGAGAUGGGCACUAUUUUCGAGUACAGGAUAAGUGUUGAAGACAAUCCAAAAGAUCAUUUUGUUAAAUUCGAUUCACACAAUUCCAUGAUGAACUGUACUUGUAAGACGUUUGAGUUUAUUGGCAUCCCAUGUCGCCAUAUGCUGAAGGUACUUGACACAAGGAAUAUCAAGGACCUUCCUGUUCAGUACAUUGUGAAAAGGUGGACAAAGGAUGCCAAAUCAGGGUCUUCAAAUGGUGGUUGUGCUUUCUCAUUUGAACCUGAGUCUGCUCAGACAAAACGUUACAAUUUACUGUGUCGCAUAUUCAGUAUAGCAGCGGCUAGGGCUGCAACCUCUGCAGAAUCAUUCACAUUUAUGGAAAACCAAUCAAACAUACUGAUGGAUCAAGUAGAGCAAGUUAUUCAAACCAGGCCCCCUGACAUAGUUGACCUUAUUGGUGCUAAUUGUGACCGAACUCAAAGUUCAGUUGACAAUAUUGUCGCCGAAGGCAUUCACGGUCAUACUAAUUUUCUUAAUGGCUCCGCUGAUGGCUCUCUAACAUUUCCAUUCACAUUGGGUGCUGGCGCAUUGGAUUACCGCUGACAGACCAAGUCUUUUUAGGCAGGAUGACAUAACUGGAUUUCUACUAAUUUGUUGGUGACUGCGCAUUAAUUAUGGAGCUGCAAUUAACAAUGGCACAUCUACUUGCACAGGUCGUUGCAGAAGGAAUACGAAAUUGCUGGAGAUUUAUCCAUUUACAUUGCAGGCCUAAUAUUGUUUCCGCUGUAGCUCUACACCUGAAGAAAGUCAAGCAUUCUUUCCCCUUAGCCAGCAAUACAUGUAUAUACUUUGCUGGGAAGCGUUUUUCAUGAGUUGGAAUAAGCAACCAGAUACGUUGAUCAUGGCCUGGUUUACUGAGCUUCUGAUCACUUAACCAAGGCUAACCGACUCCAUAUGAGCUGUAGCCUUUUAACCCGUUCUGUACAUGCUGUAUUGCUGUUUCAGUAGCUUAGUCAUCCCAAAUGUGUAAUGUAUGAAUCUUUCUAACAUCAUUAUAUCAAUAGUAUUUGGCAACUGGUAAUCAGUUGCUGGUGUACUAUAUAGUUCGUUA